UCGAACGGUAAGGCUCCAGCUUGCUGGGGUACACGAGUGGCGAACGGGUGAGUAACACGUGGGUGACCUGCCCUGCACUUCGGGAUAAGCCUGGGAAACUGGGUCUAAUACCGGAUAGGACCGCACCGUGAGGGUGUGGUGGAAAGUUUUUUCGGUGUGGGAUGGGCCCGCGGCCUAUCAGCUUGUUGGUGGGGUAAUGGCCUACCAAGGCGGCGACGGGUAGCCGGCCUGAGAGGGUGGACGGCCACAUUGGGACUGAGACACGGCCCAGACUCCUACGGGAGGCAGCAGUGGGGAAUAUUGCACAAUGGGCGGAAGCCUGAUGCAGCGACGCCGCGUGGGGGAUGACGGCCUUCGGGUUGUAAACUCCUUUCACCAUCGACGAAGGGUUUCUGACGGUAGAUGGAGAAGAAGCACCGGCUAACUACGUGCCAGCAGCCGCGGUAAUACGUAGGGUGCGAGCGUUGUCCGGAAUUACUGGGCGUAAAGAGCUCGUAGGUGGUUUGUCGCGUCGUCUGUGAAAUUCCGGGGCUUAACUCCGGGCGUGCAGGCGAUACGGGCAUAACUUGAGUACUGUAGGGGAGACUGGAAUUCCUGGUGUAGCGGUGAAAUGCGCAGAUAUCAGGAGGAACACCGGUGGCGAAGGCGGGUCUCUGGGCAGUAACUGACGCUGAGGAGCGAAAGCAUGGGGAGCGAACAGGAUUAGAUACCCUGGUAGUCCAUGCCGUAAACGGUGGGCGCUAGGUGUGGGUUUCCUUCCACGGGAUCCGUGCCGUAGCUAACGCAUUAAGCGCCCCGCCUGGGGAGUACGGCCGCAAGGCUAAAACUCAAAGGAAUUGACGGGGGCCCGCACAAGCGGCGGAGCAUGUGGAUUAAUUCGAUGCAACGCGAAGAACCUUACCUGGGCUUGACAUAUACAGGAUCGCGCCAGAGAUGGUGUUUCCCUUGUGGCUUGUAUACAGGUGGUGCAUGGUUGUCGUCAGCUCGUGUCGUGAGAUGUUGGGUUAAGUCCCGCAACGAGCGCAACCCUUGUUUUAUGUUGCCAGCACGUUGUGGUGGGGACUCGUAAGAAACUGCCGGGGUUAACUCGGAGGAAGGUGGGGAUGACGUCAAAUCAUCAUGCCCCUUAUGUCCAGGGCUUCACACAUGCUACAAUGGUCGGUACAGUGGGUUGCCAGUCCGUGAGGGCGAGCUAAUCCCGCAAAGCCGGUCUCAGUUCGGAUCGGGGUCUGCAACUCGACCCCGUGAAGUCGGAGUCGCUAGUAAUCGCAGAUCAGCAACGCUGCGGUGAAUACGUUCCCGG
rnacentral:rRNA from 1 species